UUCGACAGAAUAGUCAGAUAAAAUACGAGAUUUUAGGCUGCUAGUAUGGGACAAUGUAUAAGCCGUUGCUCUAUACACGUAAU